rnacentral:snRNA from 1 species
GUGCCGUAAUCCACAACCUUUAGCACAUAUACUAAAAUUGGAAUGAUACAGAGAAGAUCAGCAUGGCCCCUGCGCAAGGAUGACACGCAAAUUCGUGAAGUGUUCCUUUAGUGC